AUGGCUCCCUGUCAUCUCCAGGAUCAAAUACAAAAUCCCCUGGGAUUCAAAGCACUUCAUAACCUAUCCAUCACACAUAUAAAUACACACACCUUUAUAGUCUUCUUAUACCUAACCCCCCUCCUCUACAUACAAUUCAGUGACCAAGGAAGGCAAGGAAGGAAGGAAGGAAGGGGAGAAAGAAAAAGAAAGAAAGAGAGAGAGAGAAAGAAAGAGAGAAAGAGAGAGGAAGGAAGAGAUGGCAUGUGCAUGGAGACUCACCAAAGCAAACUCAAAAGGAGUGAUGAGACCAUAUUUCAUGAAAAUUCAGGGAGAAGAGAAAGAGACUUCACACAGAUGAAGUCAAAAAAGAUGAGAACUAAAAAAAAAGUCCAUCAGAUGUAUUUAUUAUAAUGGUGAUUCAGGCCUCUGGGUGUCUUUGCAGUGUUUAGGAUUGAAAUUCUAUGAUAGUUACAGGCCAGCAGGUGGCGAGAGAGAUUUGAAAGUCAUCUCUUCAUCCCCAUCUCUCAGUACAGAAAACCCAUUGACUGCUCAGCCAACCAGCUGUAAGUCUUUCUCUAUAGGAAAUCCCCUCCAAAGGGAGUGGUCCUCCCUUGCGCUUCUCCAGCUUGACUGCUCCUUGGGCAGCCCAAAGAGAGGGUCUCUUGUGCUGGGCCACUCCAGGGACCGAGAUACCAACAGCCUCCUGCAAUGACGUAUUCCAGGGUUUUCACUGGCAAGAGCCCAAGUCUAUAGACCCCAAAUUCAGCACUUUGCCACUCUACCCUGAGGUCUAGCUGGAGAGAAAGCCCUGGCAGAUACUUUUCCAAGGAGGUGGUUUGAAAAAUUGAUGAAUGGGACUUUAGAACACAACACUAGCAGAGUCUUUAGGGCACGGGCAUUAAUCAUACUGUUCCAAUGGAAAGGGGCCCUUGGAGCUUGUCUAGUCCAAUGUUAAUGGGGAAAUAAGCCAGAGGAGGCGAUCCAUGGGCAAAUGUCCAUGUGAAUACUUGGGAACAAUGAUCCCUUGGGGGAUACCUGGGUGCCAACUGGAAGUGCCAUCACCCCACACCCCAUUCCCUUAACAUCCAUUUUAAUGUACCUAUUUCUAGCAAUGGGAAAGUGCUGCCAAAGCCCUGGCAAAAAUCCCAAUUUCCAAAACUAAGGAAGGGAGACUUCUUGUGUAAUAAAAACAGUUCUGUACAAGGGGAGCA
rnacentral:lncRNA from 1 species